UCAUUGUAUUGCUUACAAAUAACUAGGCAGUUGGGUCGGCUGCUAUACUAUAGCGCCCCAAGCCUGAUAAUUAGCUAGGCGUAACAGCGGCAAGCCACAGUAGCACAUAAAAAUUGCUACCGUUUAUUUACGCAGCAGUAAGAAAGAUUGGACAAUAGCUUAAGGGCAGAUCCAGGUAAGCGCUAAAAUCU
rnacentral:rRNA from 1 species